AUUGAACGCUGGCGGCAGGCCUAACACAUGCAAGUCGAGCGGUUGAAGCGAGCUUGCUUCUGGAUUCAGCGGCGGACGGGUGAGUAAUACCUAGGCAUCUGCCUGGUUGUGGGGGAUAACGUCCGGAAACCGGCGCUAAUAACGCAUACGUCCUGAGGGAGCACGUGGGGGAUCUUAGGACCUCACGCUAACAGGUGAGCCUCGGUCGGAUUGGCUAGUUGGUGGGGUAAUGGCCUACCAAGGCGAGGAUCCGUAACUGGUCUGAAAGGAUGAUCAGUCACACGAGAACUGGACCACGGACCAGACGCCUGCGGGAGGCAGCAGUGGGGAAUGUUGGACAAUAGUGGAGAGCCUUAUCCAACCGGGCCGCGUGUGUUAAGAAGAUCUUCGGAUUGGAAAGCACUUUAAGUUGUGGGGAAGGGCAGUAAGUUAAGACCUUGCUGUUUUGACGGUACCAGCAGAAUAAGCACCGGCUAACUUCGUG
rnacentral:rRNA from 1 species